rnacentral:rRNA from 1 species
UAAUACGGAGGGGGCUAGCGUUGUUCGGAAUUACUGGGCGUAAAGCGCACGUAGGCUGUUAAUCAAGUUAGAGGUGAAAGGCCUGGGCUCAACCUGGGAACUGCCUUUAAUACUGAUUAGCUAGAGUCCGGGAGAGGGUAGCGGAAUUCCAAGUGUAGAGGUGAAAUUCGUAGAUAUUUGGAAGAACAUCAGUGGCGAAGGCGGCUACCUGGACCGGUACUGACGCUGAGGUGCGAAAGCGUGGGGAGCGAACAGGAUUAGAUACCCUGGUAGUCCACGCCGUAAACGAUGAGUGCUAGAUGUCGGGGUUUAAGGCUUCGGUGUCGCAGCUAACGCGUUAAGCACUCCGCCUGGGGAGUACGGCCGCAAGGUUA